CAGAAUGACAAAGCAAAAAUCCAGUCCUCGCGCAGCCCCGGCAACCUGUGCCUGUCCUCCCCGCAAAGUGAGAGCUCCUAAUUGGACCGUGAAACAUCCUCGCUGCCCGGAACCGCCCCCCGACCCAAAGGCCGCCGCUGCUAUUCAAAGAAUGUUGGGAACCAGAACCCAGUAAGAGUGUGUGGAAAUGUGGUAUCGUAGCUCAGACAACGUCGAAAAAUCCUUCUGUUUCUCAACUAUCGUCUCGGCUAAGACCGGAGUCCUGCUGCCUCAAUACCAAUGUAAACACCCAUCUGCAGAGGGUGCCAGCUACAGUAAUCACUAUGGAACCUCCUUCUCUCUAGGGCCCUGAGAUCAAGUCCAGCUUUCUCAAUGGUCCAGACAAGGCAAGACCCACCCUUCUUUGGGGAGGUUUGUUUGUUUUGUUUGGUCAAAACAGAGUUUCUCUGUGUAACCCUGGCUGUCCUGGAACUUGCUCUCUGAACCAGGCUGGCCUCAAACUCAGAGAUCUGCCUGCCUCUGCCUCCCAAGUUCUGGGAUUAAUAAAGGUGUGUGCUGCUUCCCCCCAACCCUCACUCUUACCCCCUGGCUAAGAGCCACUCCUGUUAGUGCUACUCACCCGUCCACAUCGUCUGUACCCUACUUGGGCAGCAAACCAUUGCUGGAGAAACACAGAGAGUAGGUCAGGACCACAAACCUCAAAUCUGUCCCUGCCAGCAAUCCUUUCUCCCUGUCAUAUUUCCCCAGCCGCCACAAUGACUCUUCCAUUUUUUCCUUCUUUUUCUUUUGAAUCUCUAACAGCACUGCCACAUCUUGCCCUCCCUCUGCUCAUGACCUGGUUUCAACUUUAAGAAACCAGAAUCCACCAGACAGGCCUUCCCAGCAUUUUCCCAGGAAAAUGGCUCCCAGUAGAAGAAAACCAAGGUUUGUGGCCAUUGGCUCUUGCCAUCUCCAUUCAACAUCUCCCUUGGUCACCGUCAAUUUCUUGUUCCGUGCCUGAUCAUUUCUGUCGUCAUGCAAACACACUGUGCACCUCUCGUUCCAAGAAAGCUGUCGCCGCAUCCUUUCACAAGGCAAUUGGGUGAGGCGGGUGUUGGAAGAGCUCUCUACACUCCGAAGAACAAUAAAGGAAGCAAAAAAGCAGGAAACUGUCUGAGGAUGUGCCUGCUAAAGGGAAAAGAUGGCGUGCACCAUGCAUGGGACACAAGAAACAAAGAAGUGCCAAGGGGAGAGCUCACUGCACUCACCCAGUGGGGCAGCCAGAGAGCCAGGACGACAUGGUAGAAAGGAAGCAAAAAGCCAGGAGGGGAAAAGGCAGAAGCUGUAAAGGCUUGAACUAGUGAGGCAGCACCUGCCUCUGAGGGUAAACACGGGUUAGGAAUGGGAGAAAGUGAGAGAUGAGAACCUACGAUCCAGAUGUCGGCCUUGGCAGCUGGGUAAGUGGGGGCCCUCUUUGGGACGGGGAUGGUUGGGGAAGGAACGUAAUAGCCUGGUACAAAUCCAUAGUCUGACUUUCUAAUUUUCUCUCUAAAUGGAGAUUUCCAAUAGACAACUGGAUAUAUGGAUCUGGAGGUCAGAACCGAAAGUAAAAAUCAGAGAGAAAUUAGGGGAGUCAAUAUAAACAAUACCAUAUACCAUAUGCACUAGCUGGGCAAGGUGGUGGCACGUGCCUUCAGUCCCAGCGCUCGGGAUCUGGAAGCAGAUCUCUUUGAGUUCGAGGCUUUCCUGGUUCACAAAGUGAGUUCAAGCCAAGAGUCUCAAAAUUAAAUAAGCAAUAGGAUAAAAGGUACUCCAUCUAUUGGGAUUUUCUAGGGAAAAAAGAGAGAGAGGGAGAAAGAACCCAGCAGUAGGGUGUGAGUGUAAAGGGGCUGUGGAGUUAGAAGGGAACCAGUUAACAGUUAGGGCUCUCGCUUGAGAAGUGAGGCCAAAGAUCAGGAGUUCAAGGUUAUCCUUAGCCUGGGAGUUUGAGGCCAGCCAAGACUAUAAGAGACCCUGUCUCUACAUAAAAGAACCCACUGGCUCAGUGACUUAGAAGGUCAACAAAUCCCCAGCCACAGGCCAGAGAUUUGAGUGCCACUGCUCCCUCCCUGCUGCCUGAGGAAGCAGGGAGGGCUCUUCCUCUCUAGUGGGCCUCUGGCUUUUCUCUGGGGGCCGUGAGGUAGCUGGAUGAAUCGUACACGCAUGUGCGCCUUCUGGGAGGUAAUCUUCACUCUGAGUCUACUGAGUUUAAUGUUAAUUACACUUCUAAAAUCCCUUCGCAGCAGCAUCUAGUGUUUAACUAAAGGAGUGGGUGACCACAGCUGGGUCAAGUUGACACGGAAGGUUAAUUCUCACACUCUGGUACUAGAUAAAAGUCACCCAGGGAGCAAGUAGAUUUAGGGGGAUGAGGGUGGCCCAGAGACAGCCCUGAAUGCCAAAUUACAGAGAGAAAAAGGAACUGGCCCAGGGGGAAGGAGCUAGAGGAUGCAGGAAGAAGACAAAGACGAUAAAGUCUCUCGGAAGCCAAUGGAAAGUGCUCCUGUUUAAGGAGGGGACUUCUAUGACAAGGGCACGGAACAGGAAGGGAACUGGAGCUGACAGGCAGGGCCAACUCCUUCAUUCUGAACAGCGAAAAGCAGGGAGUGCAGACAGAGGAUGAGAGCAACAGUGUCGGGGUCUCCUGCUGGUAUCUUUGUUCCUCUAAGAAGGGGAUGAUUAGAGCAAGCUGUCAUACUGGCAGAACUGAGGGAAUAAUCCAGACACGGUAAUGUGGCCAGUCCCUCAGAGAAAAGGACAAGGUGACUGCAGAGCCACCCUCUUGAAACAGACAUUUAUUACUCAGUGGGGCUUGGAAGUAAAACCCAGGUGAUAUUCUAACUUGAGGCAAGUUCCUCAGUUCCCCCAACUCCUUUAUCUCCUCUCCACAGGGUCCCCUGUGGCCCUUCCACUUCCUCAUCUAACCCAAACCUCCCCUUCAUCCCAGUCAUUAGCCCGCCCUCCAUCCCUUUAAUUACCGACUCCCAAGUACUCCACAAAUCCAGUUCCAACCUGUCUUCCCCCAGGAUGCCAUCAAAGAGGCCAGUCCUAUGAAAUGUGUCACAGUGCCAGGCAGUCAUUCAACGUGGCGAUCACACUGUUGCGAUUAUGUUUUAUUUAUGAUUGUUUGAUCAGUGCCCGCCUCCUCUGGAAUGGCAGGGUCAGUCAGCUUUCAAGGUGACAGUGAUGUCUAUCUGUGCUCCCCCACCUCGGUGUACAAGUAACUCCUGAGCUCUUAAAAGAUGGAUCCAUCGGGGCUGGGGAUUUAGCUCAGUGGUAGAGCGCUUACCUAGGAAGCGCAAGGCCCUGGGUUCGGUCCCCAGCUCCGAAAAAAAGAACCAAAAAAAAAAAAAAAAAAGAUGGAUCCAUUUAUUUUAUUUAAAUCUAAUUGAUUUAAAUGUAAACAGCCUCGAGGGAAUCAGGGACUGCAAUUCCUAUUUUAACCACUGUAUGCCCAGCACCCAAUGCAGUGUGCACACAUAGUGACUGGAGUUCAGUAAAUAUUUGUCCAGAGCUUAAAUCUGUAGAUUGGGGAUAUCGCUAGUUAAUUUAUAUCCAUUGUAUCUUUUCCAUAUAGGGGAAAAAUGUUUUCCACAGGACAAAUGUCAGGGGGUCUCCUACAGUUCCAGAGAGGUGAAUUUCACUUUUCAGAGCACGGUCCAUCUCAAGGGGAAGCUGGGACAACAGGGAAAACACCCUGGUCGUCUGAAUGGAAUUCCGUCUGUAAUCUUCUUGGGAAGUGCCUGGAGCGUGGGGAAUGCCCAAAUGUGCUGGUCCACAAGCUCCACUGAGAGCACAGAAGGGAACCAGAUGCUGGUGUGCCAUCACAGGAGAGGGCUCCUAAGCCGAGCGGCCUUAACCCAAAGCCUGAGAAAUAACAGGUGGGGGGGACGGCGAAUGGGAACCGGCAGGGCUUGGUAUGUGGAAACCCAGGUUGUAUGCGAUUAACUUAGUUAGUGCUUCCAACUGUCUGAUAAGGGGCAAUAGUCUUGGUUUUCCCAUUUUACAGACAAAGAGAACGGAGCUGAGAACGGUGAGAGGAGCUGAGUUUGUUGGCCCUCAGCUACGAGAACAGGGCCGAGGCUACCCCAGCGCUAUAAUACUGAGCUACCUCACCAGCAAAAUGUCCCAGGCGGAGCAAGCAACAGGCAAAAAGGUAUUGAGGUCUUAGGAAGGAAACAGUACAUCUCUGUGUAAAGGGAGGCAAAACAGAGACACACUGGAUCCCAUCUGUAGAUCAAAGCCAAGGAAGUGUUUGGCCCAUUUCUGCACACGCUCGAUGAAUCCCCAUAGGAUUCUAAAAAAAAAAAAAAAAAAAAAAACGAGGGCUGUAGAAAGUUAAGGUUUUUAUCAAAGCAGGUAAUGCUAAGAGUUCGGGUAAAAAUCCAGGGUUCCCCUGGGCAUAGUGGUGCAUACCUUUAAUCCUAGCCCUUGGGGGGCACAGUUCAAGGUCUCUGAGUUUUAGGUCAGCCUGAGCUACAGUAAGUUCUAGGUCAGGUAUGGCUACACAGUGAAGAUCUUCUCUCACAAACAACAUGACUCAGCAGUUAAGAGCGCUGGCUGCUCUUCCAGAAGACCCGGCUUCGAUGCCCAGCACCCACAACUCCAGUUCCGGUGAAUCUGAUGCCCUCUUCUGGUCCUCCGAGGGCCCUGGGCACACACCGAGGGCACAGACAUGCAUGCAAGCACUUAACCAUACACAAACAUUUUUAAAGUUUUUCUUUAAAACAACAAACAAAGAGCUCGAGGGGUUCCUAUCUAUAAACCCAUCGUUUCACAGUUAAUUACUAUACAGGGAGGAAUGAAAAUUAUAAAAAGCAACAUGCUAAAGAUACAAAAACAGCAGUAGCUUUCUGACAAGGGCCAAAGAAGAUUUUGUCCACACAGCAUCCAUCCUGGGAACUCUGAAAUCCAACCCUGGUAACCAUGACCCCACGAAGACAUCUCCCCUCAGACACAGUCUGUCCCCCUCCUUUCUCCUAUGGGGUUGCAUUCAGGACAUCUUUUCUCACUUCUCCCGCUGCCUGAGGGCCUGUUAGCCUCUCCACAGUCCUCGCCACAGCCCCUGGAGAUUAGUGCCAUCUCCAUUCACAGAUGACUAACUCCAGGGUGGGUGACACAGUGAGUCCUCUCUCUACCCCGCACUAUCUGCUUGAGGGGCUAAUCUUUGUUUCCCUGAUGCCUGGGGUGCACACUCCAUGAGGAGACACACUGCAGGUUUGACUGAAUCUGACUUUUCUGGGUUUUGUGGGGGGGGGGGUGCUUUUAGGUGUUAAUGGAGAGAACCGUGCAGCAAGGGUGAAGGAGCCCUGACUUGUAGCACAUGCCAGAGUCCGAGGUAUAAAUACUUCAAGCUACCAGCUUAGGCACAAAGUCCCUGAGUGUGUAACGGCGGCUUCCCUAGCUGGCAGGAGCUCUUGGGUACCAGCUGUCUGCCUCUCUGUCUCUUCUUCCAGCAGCUCUGUACUCAGACCUCCCUGCAUCCUCAGACAACACGAUGCAGACUGUUCUCCUGAGGCUUAACUGGCCGGCAUGCUACACUAUCCCAGCUCCUAAUGUGCUCUGGAACCCGAUAUCCUGCUUUCAAUGGGGCCUGUUCCCUCUUGCACAAGUCUCCAGGCCGUGCCCACUGCUGCGGCUCCUUGUAGUAGAGGGGGAAACCUGCUCUGAAACCACGGUCUGGCCUUUCUGCUAGCGAGCUGUGUGCCCUUGGGCACAUCCUGGUACACCUCUGUGCCUCAGUUUACUCAUCUGUAACGUGCUGAUAAAUAACAUGUAUACCUCAUGUGGUGGUUGUGAGAUGAGGUAUUGGAAAGCCCAAGAAUGUGAUGGGUAAUCAAUAUUUGCAUGCACAGCGUUCUUCUGACAUGGCCUGAAGCUGGAAAGCUUUCAUAAACUCCUUCCAUGAGUCAUUCACAGGAACUAUCAACAACGUAUUAUAUUACACCAGACCCUGUCCAUGAUCUAAUCCAAAGGACACAUCCCCAGUCUAUAUGAAGCAUGCCGUUUUAUUUAAUUUUUUUUUGAGACACUCUCACAUAGCCCAGGCUGGCCUUGAACUCACUAUGUACUGAGAUUUCAGGGAUGAGGGGCUGGAUGGCAAACCCAGUGUUUCCCGCAGGCGAGGCAAGAACCCUGUCCACUGAUCUGCACCCCCAGCCCCAAGCGUGCUGCUUCCUCCAGGGCACACGCUCAUUCCUCAGAGCUUGUCGUUCCUGGGGAGAAGAAAAGGCAUUGCUUUUCUCAGUCAACUUACUAGAAGGGCUGGAAGCGCUACGUGACGUCUGUGUUCCGUGUACAUACGAGCCUCGGGUGUCCACACUGCUGGAGCACGCAGAAGCACUCCUGUGAGCUAGUCACUGCCCUACUUCAGUUUCAAAGGAAGGGAAAUGGUUUUUCGUCUUUGUUCGGUUUUGAAGAGAGGGUUUCCCCAUACGGUCCCCGUCCCCCUGAGCUUGCAAUACUCCUGCUCUGGACUGCCAUUCUAGGUGGAACACACCAGCCGGAACGUCCAGCCGGAAGAGAAAAGUUCUUAAUGUGGAAAACCCCUCGCCUGAAGAGCCUCAGGGGGCCGUGGCCUCCGUUCCAGUAAACUCUCAGAUAAACUCCUAUAAAACUGGAGAUCAGUCACGCUCACCCCCAGCCAGCCAUGUACUAAUUACUAAUGGUAGCUGGCUUUUAGGUCCUCUAGAUCAAAGGAGAUCAUAUUGCUCCUUAGUACACAUCACAAGGAACCUGAUACUGUGAGGAACAUCCCUGUCCUAUUUCUUCUCCCCCUAAAAAGCCCAAACUGCCACAGUCACCAGAAGAAGAGAAGAGGGACAGGGGAGGGGAGGGGAGGAGAGGGAGACAGAAGGAGCCCAGGAUCUUCCUAACUGAUAGCUAAUGAUCUGCUAGUCCAACCUUGUAACACAGCCACACGAUGUGGUCAUCUACAAAGCUCAUGCUCAAGAAGCAGGCAACCAAGUUACUUUAAAAAGUGGGGAACGGGGUGUCCCAUAUGGGCCACGUGCAGCAUGAAGACUGGCCCUGCCAGGUAGGCCCUGUUUUUAACUGAGACUGACCUAAGUCUCACAGGAAGCACUGACAUCAGUUUUCCAGGCUGUAGCUUAGUGGUAGAGCCCAUGCCGGGCACGCGCACCAUCCCACAACACGAAACUUUCCCACUAACAGCAGACGAGAGCCGUGUAUAUUCCCACCUUGGUACUUUUUAAAUCACUUAUCUACGGACUGAAAACGUUUACUCACUCUUUAAAACUCUCAGGAACUCUGAGUCAGUGGCUGGAGAGGAAGAAACUCGGCUCCCUGCUGCUGGUCUCCACAGGGCUCAAAGUUAAUCGUUAGCGGAUUUCGCCUUUGGCAGAAAAAAAGCAUGUUCUAGGCUUUCAGUUCACUGUGCAGUCACUGGAUUCUCCAAAAAGCAAAGUCCGCUCACAUGCAGGCCAUCCUGUAAAGUGUCUACAUUUAUGUUUUGUUUAUUUGUUUUGAGUUGUUUGUUUGUUUGGUUUCUGUUUUUGAGAUAGGAGGCUCGCUGUGUCUCCUAAGUUAGUCAGUCUCCAACUGGAGCUCAAAUGGCUUUAGUUCCCUGUGCACCUGCCUUAUUCUUGUGAUUUAGAGACAAACCUGUCUCCACCCGUGUGGAAACUGCUGCGCUGUCUUUUCAGAUGAGCCAGUCUGAGCCAUUCCACAGGUAAAUGCAAGAUGUGACCGGGAUCUCUAACUGGACACCAUGUAUACAGUAUCCUAAAGUGAAGACUUCAUUUCUCAGCCUCCCUUUGGGGUGUGUGUGUGUGUGUGUGUGUGUGGUGUGGUGUGUGGUCUCUGUGUGUGGUGUAUGAGUGUGUGUGUGUACGUGUGUGUGUGUGGUGUGUGUGUGGCUAAGUGAUUACCUGUUGGCCAGUAAGUCCAGGCAGAUUGCUAUGUGACUCAGGAGAUAUUCUUACACGGAAGUUGUGUGUUCCCCUUCACCCCUCUUCCCAGCAAUGGCUAGGCUGGGCACCACCUUAGAGAGCAAGGGGGAAGACGAGAGCUGAGGGAUACAGGAUAUCGGAUUUCCAGUGCCAGGCUCUUGAUACCUAGAUUGAUUUCAGGAAAGAAAAAUGUGCUUCUACUACUUUAAGCCGCUUUUGUCUGGGCUUGGAGGCUAUAUGUAGCCAAACUGAGCCAUAACCAGAUCACUCGUGUUACCCUACAAGGACAGAUGGGUCUCAGUAUCUCCAUCCAAUGAAGAUCUGGGUUCUGGUCUACCGCACAGACUUUCCCAGAGUUCUAACUCAUUCCCAAAGCCUGAGCCGUAUCCAUAGAGUAAGCCCUCCCAAGCCUGCAGACCUCAUCCAGACAUGCGCCUGCCCGGCUACCAUCUACCUUGGACACCCCCAGCAUGGCUACCAUAAAGUUACUGUGUCGCUUAGAAGCCUCUCCAUAUUCAUCUCUGGGGGAACGGCACCAAGGCCAAACUCCAUGGCUGUCAUCUCAGCCACACCCUUCCUCUUUCCUGUAUCCUUUCACCUCAGACUUGAUUCCGUCUUCCACUAAAGUUUCCCCCGCGGGAUGAAGAGAUGGCUGGGUGCUCCUGCGGGGGCCUGAAUCUGUUUCCCAGCAUGCACUUUAGGUGGUUCAUGACCGCCUGUAUAACGCCAGUUCCAGGGAGAUCCAGUGCCUCAGGCCUCCACAAGGCCCCUGCAAUCUUACGCACUUACCCCAUACAGACACACCGGCUGGCACAUAGUUGUAAAACAUUACAAUAAGGCUAGGCGGUAGCGGUGCACGCCUUUAAUCCCGGGACUCCGGAGACAGAGGUAGGCAGAUCUCUGUGCAUUUGAGACCAGCCUGGUCUAUAGAGUGAGUUUCAGGGUAGCCAGGGCUACAUAGAAGAACGCUGUCUCAGAAAAAAACAAAACAAAAAAACUAAAAAUAGCUAGCAAAAUAAAUACAUUAAGUAUUGUUUAACAACCUUUUAAAGAGCAAGCAGAUCCUAUUCGUCUAUAUCUCCUCAGUGCCUCCUUGAGCACUGAAGGAACGGAGCACAAAUGCCUGUAUUCUUCAGCUCUUUUCUGUGCUUUCAACAAUUUUUAAAUUUCAUGUAUAUGCGUGCAUGUUUUUGCCUGAAUAUAUGUACAUGCACCACCUGUGUGCUCGGUUGCCAUGGAAGUCAGAAGAGGGCGUCUGAUCCCCUGGAGCUGGAAUCCUGAGUGCUUACGACAGAAUCCGGGUCCUCCGCAACGACAAGUGCUUUUAAUUUAACCGCGGAGCCCUCCUUUGCGUUUAGCUUGCUCAAACAAAGAUGUGAUAUUUCACAAACAUCUAUUUUAAAUUGUUUUCCCCUUUUUCACAGGACGUGGGGUUUUAUGCUGUAGAAAUCUUCCCAUGCGGUUAGGCUGCUGUGAAUCAUGUUUAUGGACGACUAAUGGCGCGGGAGUCAGCCAUGCUCUGACGAUGUCUCAGGAACCGAGGGAGGCGUUUUAUAGGAACUCUCAUCCCAUCUCCAUGUUGCAGGUGAGGAACUAGAACCUCCAGAGCCCUCGACUUGUGACUGUGACUAAUGGUCACGACAGAGCAGGACUCGACUCACUUCCGGAGAAGAGAAGGCUCCUUCAUGCUGGUUUAGUAGUGUGAGACCAACUGACUCAAUAAAGUUGACACUAUGGAGAUCUUCAUCUAAAUCUGCUCAAUUCACAACUAAACAGUUGGAGAAGGGGGCAUUAAUUAAUUACUACAGUAUAGACAGUAUUACCUUGAUUUGAAUAUUACCUGAAUUUGAACAACCCGACCAGAGUGGACGAGGGCUGGAUGGACCUCAGUAGUAACAAACUUGCCUCCCAUAUACAAGUGCCUGGGUUUGCCCCCAGCCCCACAGGAAGAUAAAAUAAGGAGAACAACCUAGAUGGGACAUACUAUUUCCUUCUGGCAUGAACUGGACCCCGAUGUGUAUGGUACAGCGAUGUGUUUUCUUUGUUCUACUUAAGAGCAUCCUUUUGAGAAAUAGGAAGGUUGUUUUCAGCCCGACUCCGGGUACGUUUGGGUACAGAAAUGUGCCCAAGAAGAGGAAGAUAUGUAUAAAUUCUUAUGUGAGUGUUAUGAUAUCACUGAUAUCCACUCCUCUUCAUCCAUUUAUACAAGAGCAGAACACACACUGGAAAAGCAGAGGCAGGAGGAUGACUGUUUGAGUCUAGCCUGGGCUACAAAAAGAGCUCCAGGCCAGCCUGGGCUACAAUGUGAAACACUGUCUCAAAAAAAAAAAAAACAAAAACAAAAACAAAAAAUAAAUGAAAGUAAAGAG